UGUGUACUUAGAAAAAGCUCGUGAGGAGGUAUUUAGAUAAGUUGAGUACCGAAAGCAGACGCCUUUAUGAGAUAGAGAGCAAAGGAAAAUAGAUAAGGCGAGGCAUAUGACCCGUUAGUUUUCAAGUUUAAAUAAUUUUGCAGUGUCAGAAGCCGGACAGUUCGACAAGUUCGUUCCCAGGCUCAGUACUUUUCGCACAUUCUGGGAAAUUACAAUGGCAACGGGUCUGCCCGCCGUCGUUAACAGAACUAAAAUACCUAAGAGAAUGCCCUGGCCAUGGCCAAAGAAAAAACCCAAAACGGGAAAACUGAAAAAGAAAAUAAAACUAGAUUCUUCAGCAUGUGCAGAACUGGUUUGCGUUAUUUUUCAACGUUUCGCCUAUGUAAAGGUGUUGGUUUGUCUUUUGGUGCAUAGAACUAUUGAGCAAGGAAUUGAGUGUUGGUCGUUGGCGCUGCAGCUAUUCCGGGGAUGGGAAUAGGUAAAAAUCGAUCAACGCUUGGUGUGGCCAGGGGGAGGACACAUUCUCCAACACAUGCGCAAAAAUUCAAUACACAUACACACACUGCGCCGUGAAGCGAUGUGUCAUCACUUUCUGAUGGUUGUACCAAAUGUAAUUGUUUUUUUUUUUUUUCCAUAGUUUUUGCACCGUUCAUCUAUUUUUUAGUGUCUGUUUUACACAUUUUGCCCAAUUUGCAUAACUCUUUCUUUUGCUUUUGUGUCUCUUUUCAAUAACAAACACAAUAACAACACACACAAACGAAAAUAUAAACUGUUACGACGGCCAUCUUGGAUAGAGGAGAGGGAGCAAUGAGAGUCAAAAAGUCGCUCAUUACACACACCGUCACUGUUGCGAAAUGGGUUUUGAGUAUGCGGUUGAUCGCGGCGCUUCAGCUUCUUGCUUUGAUUAUGUGCAACGAAUACUUACACCAAUUUUGUAAUUCAUAUAUUAUAUUUAUACUUAUUUUGAUUUUAUUUAUCUGUUUUUCUUUUAUUUGACAAUUGUUUGUUAAGCAGCGGACUAGAGCUCAG